GCACAGAUAGCUUAAAAUUAAAGCAUAGCACUGAAGAUGCUACUAUAGGUAUGUUGUGCCUUUUGUGUA
rnacentral:tRNA from 1 species